rnacentral:pre_miRNA from 4 species
UCUUCUAAAUCAGUAAAGAAAGUAGUUUCUUGAGAUGGAAUCUACUCCUGGUGAAGAUGCUGUGAA